GACGAACGCUGGCGGUGUGCUUAACACAUGCAAGUCGAACGGAAAGGCCCUGCCUUUGUGGGGUGCUCGAGUGGCGAACGGGUGAGUAACACGUGAGUAACCUGCCCUUGACUUUGGGAUAACUUCAGGAAACUGGGGCUAAUACCGGAUAGGAGCUCCUGCUGCAUGGUGGGGGUUGGAAAGUUUCGGCGGUUGGGGAUGGGCUCGCGGCUUAUCAGCUUGUUGGUGGGGUAGUGGCUUACCAAGGCUUUGGCGGGUAGCCGGCCUGAGAGGGUGGCCGGCCACAUUGGGACUGAGAUACGGCCCAGACUCCUACGGGGGGCAGCAGUGGGGAAUAUUGCACAAUGGGCGGAAGCCUGAUGCAGCAACGCCGCGUGCGGGAUGACGGCCUUCGGGUUGUAAACCGCGUUCGCCUGUGACGAAGCGUGAGUGACGGUAAUGGAUAAAGAAGCACCGGCUAACUACGUG
rnacentral:rRNA from 1 species